AAUGAACGCUGGCGGCGUGCUUUACACAUGCAAGUUGAGCGAGGCCGGGUAGCAAUACCCGAGUCGAGCGGCGAACGGGUGAGUAACGCGUGGAUAACCUGCCCAGAAGUGGGGGACAACCCGGGGAAACUCGGGCUAAUACCGCAUAACACCGAAAGGUCAAAGGGCCCGCAAGGGUCUCGCUACUGGAGGGGUCCGCGUUCGAUUAGCUAGUUGGUAGGGUAAUGGCCUACCAAGGCGACGAUCGANAGCCGGCCUGAGAGGGUGAUCGGCCACACUGGAACUGAGACACGGUCCAGACUCCUACGGGAGGCAGCAGUGGGGAAUUUUGCGCAAUGGGCUAACGCCUGACGCAGCAACGCCGCGUGGAGGAUGAAGGUCUUUGGAUUGUAAACUCCUGUCAGCAGGGAAAAGCAACUCGGCCUCAUACGCCGGGAAGUUGAUUGUACCUGCAGAGGAA
rnacentral:rRNA from 1 species